rnacentral:rRNA from 1 species
GUGGAUUCUCAAGCGUGAGGUAAGAGCAUUUGGUGGAUGCCUUGGCAUGUGCAGGCGAUGAAGGACGUGGCACGCUGCGAUAAGCGUCGGGGAGAUGUGAGCAAUCUUUGAUCCGGCGAUUUCCGAAUGGGGAAACCCACCCUCACCAUUUCCUUUCGAUUGUCUUCGGACAGUCGGAAAGAGGUGGAUAGGGUAUCACCAGACUGAAUACAUAGGUUUGGUGAAGCGAACCCGGGGAACUGAAACAUCUCAGUACCCGGAGGAAAAGACAUCAACAGAGAUUCCCGUAGUAGUGGCGAGCGAACCGGGACCAGGCCAGUGCCUUCAUUUCAACUAGCAAAACACUUUGGAAAGAGUGGCCAUAGCGGGUGACAGCCCCGUAUGCGAAAGUGAUGAUGAAGGACUCGAGUAGGGCGGGACACGUGAAAUCCUGUCUGAACAUGGGGGGACCACCCUCCAAGCCUAAAUACUCGCACAUGACCGAUAGCGAACACAGUACCGUGAGGGAAAGGUGAAAAGCACCCCGAUUAGGGGAGUGAAACAGUACCUGAAACCGGAUGCUUACAAGCAGUUGGAGCCCCAUAGGGGGUGACAGCGUACCUCUUGCAUAAUGGGUCAGUGACUUAAUCUACCAUGCAAGCUUAAGCCGUUAGGUGUAGGCGCAGCGAAAGCGAGUCUGAAUAGGGCGACUGAGUAUGAUGGAUUAGACCCGAACCCCGGCGAUCUAGGCAUGGCCAGGUUGAAGGUGCAGUAACAUGCACUGGAGGACCGAACCGGUGAAUGUUGAAAAAUUCUCGGAUGAGCUGUGUUUAGGGGUGAAAGGCCAAUCAAGCCGGGAAAUAGCUGGUUCUCCGCGAAAUCUAUUGAGGUAGAGCGUCGGAUGUAUGCCGAUGGGGGUAGAGCACUGGAUGGGCUAGGGCUGCGCGAGCGGUACCAAACCUAACCAAACUCCGAAUACCAUCGAGUCUUAUCCGGCAGACAGACGGCGGGUGCUAAGGUCCGUCGUCAAAAGGGAAACAGCCCUAACCUACAGCUAAGGUCCCCAAGUCAUAUCUAAGUGGGAAAGCAUGUGGGAAUCCCAAAACAACCAGGAGGUUGGCUUAGAAGCAGCCAUCCUUUAAAGAAAGCGUAACAGCUCACUGGUCUAAACAAGGGUUCCUGCGGCGAAGAUGUAACGGGGCUAAAGAUAUGCACCGAAGCUUAGGGUUCAGAAUUUAUUCUGAGCGGUAGCGGAGCGUUCCGUAAGCGAGUGAAGGCGAAGGGUAACCGACGCUGGACGUAUCGGAAGUGCGAAUGCUGACAUGAGUAGCGACAAACAGGGUGAGAUGCCCUGUCGCCGAAAGACCAAGGGUUCCUGCGCAACGCUAAUCGGCGCAGGGUUAGCCGGCCCCUAAGACGAGCCCGAAGGGGGUAGUCGAUGGGAACCACGUAAAUAUUCGUGGGCCUGAAGAUGUGUGACGGAUCGUGGAAGUUGUUUUCUCUUAUUGGAUUGAGAGGGCAGCCAAGCGGUUCCAGGAAAUAGCCUCUUCACUAUAGACCGUACCCGAAACCGACACAGGUGGUCAGGUAGAGUAUACCAAGGCGCUUGAGAGAAGUAUCCUGAAGGAACUCGGCAAAUUGCCUCCGUACCUUCGGAAGAAGGAGGCCCCAUAUCGACGCAAGUCUUUGUGGGGGGCACAGGCCAGGGGGUAGCGACUGUUUAGCAAAAACACAGCACUCUGCUAAGUCGGCUUCAAGACGACGUAUAGGGUGUGACGCCUGCCCGGUGCUCGAAGGUUAAGAGGAGGAGUGCAAGCUCCGAAUUGAAGCCCGAGUAAACGGCGGCCGUAACUAUAACGGUCCUAAGGUAGCGAAAUUCCUUGUCGGGUAAGUUCCGACCUGCACGAAUGGCGUAACGACUUCCCCACUGUCUCCAGGAUAUGCUCAGCGAAAUUGAAUUCUCCGUGAAGAUGCGGAGUACCCGCGGUUAGACGGAAAGACCCCGUGCACCUUUACUGCAGCUUCAGAGUGGCAUUAGGAAAUUACUGUGUAGAAUAGGUGGGAGGCUUUGAAACAUCGGCGCCAGCUGGUGUGGAGCCAACCUGUGAAAUACCACCCUGUGAUUUUCUGAUGUCUAACCACGCACCGUUAUCCGGUGUUGGGACCCUCUGUGGCGGGUAGUUUGACUGGGGCGGUCGCCUCCUAAAGAGUAACGGAGGCGCGCGAUGGUAUGCUCAGGACGGUUGGAAACCGUCUGCAAGAGUGCAAUGGCAUAAGCAUGCCUGACUGCGAGACCGACAGGUCGAGCAGAGACGAAAGUCGGUCAUAGUGAUCCGGUGGUCCCUCGUGGAAGGGCCAUCGCUCAACGGAUAAAAGGUACGCCGGGGAUAACAGGCUGAUGAUUCCCAAGAGCU